AAGAGGGGGACCUUCGGGCCUCUUGCCAUCAGAUGUGCCCAGAUGGGAUUAGCUUGUUGGUGAGGUAACGGCUCACCAAGGCGACGAUCCCUAGCUGGUCUGAGAGGAUGACCAGCCACACUGGAACUGAGACACGGUCCAGACUCCUACGGGAGGCAGCAGUGGGGAAUAUUGCACAAUGGGCGCAAGCCUGAUGCAGCCAUGCCGCGUGUAUGAAGAAGGCCUUCGGGUUGUAAAGUACUUUCAGCGGGGAGGAAGGUGUUGUGGUUAAUAACCGCAGCAAUUGACGUUACCCGCAGAAGAAGCACCGGCUAACUCCGUGCCAGCAGCCGCGGUAAUACGGAGGGUGCAAGCGUUAAUCGGAAUUACUGGGCGUAAAGCGCACGCAGGCGGUCUGUCAAGUCGGAUGUGAAAUCCCCGGGCUCAACCU
rnacentral:rRNA from 1 species